UACGAAGGGGGCUAGCGUUGCUCGGAAUUACUGGGCGUAAAGCGCACGUAGGCGGAUUGUUAAGUCGGGGGUGAAAUCCUGGAGCUCAACUCCAGAACUGCCUUCGAAACUGGCGAUCUUGAGUUCGGGAGAGGUGAGUGGAACUGCGAGUGUAGAGGUGAAAUUCGUAGAUAUUCGCAAGAACACCAGUGGCGAAGGCGGCUCACUGGACCGAGACUGACGCUGAGGCGCGAAAGCGUGGGGAGCAAACAGG
rnacentral:rRNA from 1 species